GACGAACCGUGCGAACGUUGUUCGGAUUCACUGGGCUUAAAGGGCGCGUAGGCGGCUUGCCAAGUCAGGGGUGAAAUCUUUCGGCUCAACCGGAAAACAGCUUCUGAUACUGGCGGGCUUGAGGAGGGUAGGGGCAGAUGGAACUUCCGGUGGAGCGGUGAAAUGCGUAGAUAUCGGAAGGAACGCCGGUGGCGAAAGCGAUCUGCUGGACCAUCUCUGACGCUGAGGCGCGAAAGCCAGGGGAGCAAACGGG
rnacentral:rRNA from 1 species